GAUGAACGCUGGCGGCGUGCCUAAUACAUGCAAGUCGAGCGAACGGACGAGAAGCUUGCUUCUCUGAUGUUAGCGGCGGACGGGUGAGUAACACGUGGAUAACCUACCUAUAAGACUGGGAUAACUUCGGGAAACCGUAGCUAAUACCGGAUAAUAUUUUGAACCGCAUGGUUCAAAAGUGAAAGACGGUCUUGCUGUCACUUAUAGAUGGAUCCGCGCUGCAUUAGCUAGUUGGUAAGGUAACGGCUUACCAAGGCAACGAUGCAUAGACGACCUGAGAGGGUGAUCGGCCACACUGGAACUGAGACACGGUCCAGACUCCUACGGGAGGCAGCAGUAGGGAUUCUUCCGCAAUGGGCGAAAGCCUGACGGAGCAACGCCGCGUGAGUGAUGAAGGUCUUCGGAUCGUAAAACUCUGUUAUUAGGGAAGAACAUAUGUGUAAGUAACUGUGCACAUCUUGACGGUACCUAAUCAGAAAGCCACGGCUAACUACGUG
rnacentral:rRNA from 1 species